UGGGGAAUCUUGCGCAAUGGGGGAAACCCUGACGCAGCGACGCCGCGUGCGGGAUGAAGGCCUUCGGGUUGUAAACCGCUUUCAGCAGGGACGAGGCCUUAUGGUGACGGUACCUGCAGAAGAAGCUCCGGCUAAAUACGUGCCAGCAGCCGCGGUAAUACGUAUGGAGCAAGCGUUAUCCGGAUUCAUUGGGCGUAAAGCGCUCGUAGGCGGUCUGUUAGGUCGGCAAGUUAAAUCCGGGGGCUCAACCCCCGUCCGCUUCCGAUACCGGCAGACUUGAGUUUGGUAGGGGAAGGUGGAAUUCCUAGUGUAGCGGUGGAAUGCGCAGAUAUUAGGAAGAACACCGGUGGCGAAGGCAGGUCUCUGGGCUGUUACUGACGCUGAGAAGCGAAAGCGUGGGGAGCGAACAGG
rnacentral:rRNA from 1 species